AUCAGAAGUGCGAAUGCUGACAUAAGUAACGAUAAAGCGGGUGAAAAGCCCGCUCGCCGGAAGACCAAGGGUUCCUGUCCAACGUUAAUCGGGGCAGGGUGAGUCGACCCCUAAGGCGAGGCCGAAAGGCGUAGUCGAUGGGAAACAGGUUAAUAUUCCUGUACUUGGUGUUACUGCGAAGGGGGGACGGAGAAGGCUAUGUUAGCCGGGCGACGGUUGUCCCGGUUUAAGCAUGUAGGCUGGUUAUCCAGGCAAAUCCGGAUAAUCAAGGCUGAGGUGUGAUGACGAGGCACUACGGUGCUGAAGUAACAAAUGCCCUGCUUCCAGGAAAA
rnacentral:rRNA from 2 species